rnacentral:rRNA from 1 species
AUUGAACGCUGGCGGCAUGCCUUACACAUGCAAGUCGAACGGUAACAGGCCGCAAGGUGCUGACGAGUGGCGAACGGGUGAGUAAUACAUCGGAACGUGCCCGAUCGUGGGGGAUAACGGAGCGAAAGCUUUGCUAAUACCGCAUACGAUCUACGGAUGAAAGCAGGGGACCGCAAGGCCUUGCGCGGACGGAGCGGCCGAUGGCAGAUUAGGUAGUUGGUGGGAUAAAAGCUUACCAAGCCGACGAUCUGUAGCUGGUCUGAGAGGACGACCAGCCACACUGGGACUGAGACACGGCCCAGACUCCUACGGGAGGCAGCAGUGGGGAAUUUUGGACAAUGGGGGGCAACCCUGAUCCAGCAAUGCCGCGUGAGUGAAGAAGGCCUU